ensembl:lncRNA
UUUGUACCAUUAGAAAUGUCUUUACUGUCCCUAGUGAUCAGUCUUUGCUGAAUUUGAGUACUUUUAAUAAUGACAAAUCUUACUCACCCUAAACGUUUGAACUGCAGUGUGCAUGUUUAAAAUAUACUUUUUUGUAAACUUGACAGUACGGAAUGAAGAACCUACUGAUGGAGAAAGUGGUGCAGUGAAUGAGGAGCACAAUGAGGCAUCUGCCGUCCCAACUAAAAAGCGGAAACGCUCCAAAAAGGGUGAGAAGGAAGAAAAGGAACCUACAAAAAGAGAACGGAAGACUAAAAAGAGCAAAACAUCACAGGAAGAGUGUACUGGAUCUGAGCUUGGUGCUGAUGGUAGUGAAGUCUCGUCAUCAGCCCCUGGUGCUGAAGAGGAUCAAGGGGAGAAGCACUUUCCAGAGAGUGCAGCUGAGGAGGUGGUUUCACAAAGCUCCUUCAAACGUUUAAAAAGGCCCAAUUUGGCAAAAAGGAAAGUCAAAAUAUGUUCUGAGCCAAAAGCAACAGUAGAGCUUGAGGAUACAGUAGAAGAAUGUCAAGAUGAGAGCUGCAGAGAAGCAGACAAUGAGUUGAGAAUCAUCUGUCUUGCUGAGGAUCAGCUCCAGAAUCAGCCUGUAGUUGUUCUGGAAAGAACUCCACCAAGGUUAAAAGAUUCACUCAACUCAUCUGAAAUCCAAAACCAACCUCAGCCCUCCCAGAGCCCGCAGCAUUCUCCUGGACGGCAGAUGAGAGCAGAAAAGGUCAAGCGCAAUCUGACUGCUUCAGGUGAUGGCAGUGAAGUCUUGACAGCAGGCCCUGGUGUUAAAGAGGAUCAUGGGGAGAAGCUCAUUCCAGAGAGCACAACUAAGGAGGAGAUUUCGCAAAGCUUGUUCAAAUGUUCUCCUGGGCAGCGGACAACAGCAGAAAAGAACAAGCACAAUCUGACUGCUUCAGAAGGGGAUCAGAUAGACCAGUGUCAUACUGGGUCAGAUCCGUCACCAGAGGACAUGAGCAGCACUGCCAUGGCGAAUCAAGUGGGCAUGCAAGACUCUAAAGAGGCUGAUCAAUGUAUGGAGGAGGGUUUAUAUUUACAGCAUUUAGAGUUUUUGACUUCAUCCGAAGUUAAUGGUCAGACAUUACGGAAAAGAGCAGUUGUGUUGGUGUCUCAUGACGAAGUGAAGCACUACCUCAGGAUUCAAGCACAAACCACUGCAGAGGAAUCAACAGGCUCUGAGAGUCAGCAGGACACAGCACCUUCCAGAGAUCUUCACGUGGUAGAGCAUAGGGAUGGUCUUGAGGAACAGGGCUCUACUAGUGGUGCUCUAGAAGAGAGGGUCUCUCAGGAAGUAAAGGAAACCGACACCACCUCCAUUUCUGCCCAACAAAGCAUUGUCGAAAAAAGGAGAAGGUUUUCCAAGCCCAAACCCAGUCUGAGCCGGGCAGCACAGUCCAUCCGCAGACCUCUGAAUGUACAGACAACAGAUUUUAGUGAAAAUGCCCCGUCUUUCAAAUGUGACUCAGUGCAGCUGCAGUGUAGCAGUCCUGUGGAAGUCCAAGUGAAGAACACCCCAAAUGAAUGCCUUUUAGAAGAGCACAGGGACCGUCCUGAGGAAGAGAGCACAUGUAGUGUUACUCCAGAAGAGAACGGCCCUCAGGAUGUUCAGGUGAGAGAUUUUGUGACAGGAGUGACUUCAGUGUGU